GAUAACCCUCUCCCGCUGUCCAUGAGGUCGGGGGAGGAGGUUGAGGCAAAGGUCUCACAGAACUGGACAUAUUUUAUUGUAGUUGAUAAUCGAAAAGUCGUUGUGCUGAUCGUACCUACAAACACAACGACAAAUACAAACGUUAGCGCAAGACUAAUCUGUUGAAGAUCAAUGUGGAUAAGACCUAAGUAAGUGCCAUGUGACAGAACUUCCUGCACCCUUCGCCGGAGCUAGAUUCGUCGUCAAAACGAUGAUAAAGCGGUAGGACAUUAUUCUAACUUGAACAUCACCAACGGCUCGUUGCCCUGAUGCAGGCCUGGCCAAACGGGUCGGGCCAAACAGACCAGCCCACGAUCACAUCGACACGGCCUGCCAUGGACCACACACGACAUGGUCUAAAUGAGCUGGAUAUUGGCACGCGGCACACCUUGGGCCGUGCGUGGAUGUGAAGGUUGGACACGUGGGCCAGUACGACACGUUCCAUUUAAUUUUUUAGGUAUUUUUAUUUAUUUUUUAAAUAUAUGUAACAUAAAAACAGUUCAAUAGACCUACAAAUGAGCCCAACUUACUAAAAAUAAGCAGCACAUCGUCAUAAAUGGAUCAAUGUGUCAGCCCGUCUAGUAACCACACUGUGCAUGGACCUGAAGACGCAACACAUAGGCUGGCAUGACACGACUCGUUUACUGAACGUACGCCUGUCAACCGGACAAAAAAUCCUAUUUGACGUGUGUUGUGUCAAAUAGUCAGCGCUUCACACAAACACCCAGCCAUGAUUUGGGAGUGGGCCUCCGGUUUAACAGUUCCAAGGCCUCCGGUUUUGGGAAACUUCUAGAUGUUCCCAACUGGUUUUUCCGGUUUUGAGAAAAUUCUAGAAGGUUCGCUGAACCGGUUCUUCUUGUAUUCGUUUCCUUUUUUCUUUAUUCUGUUUUGUUUCUUUUUUUUCCUGUUUUUGUUUCAAAAAAUGUUUUGGAUUUUCAAAACUUGUUCUUCAAACUUGAAAAAUAUUUUUUGCAUUUUAAAGUCUUUUGGAUUUUCAAAAAACAUUCUUCAAAUUCCGAAAAUCUUUCUGCUUUUUUCAAAAAAUAUUCUGUAUUUUCUAUAAAUGUUCGGUAUUUUCGAAAAAUGUUUUUACUUUUGAGAAAAAUGUUCUGGAUUUUCAAUAUAUGUUCUAGAUUUUCAAAAAAUGUUCUAUAUGUUUUAAAAUGUAUUUGAAAAAUGUUCUUGUUUUUCGAAAUUUGUUCUCAAGAUUAAAAAAUGUUCGUGUUUUCAAAACAAAAUCACGUUUAUGAAUUUGUUCAGUAUUUUUAAAAAAAAUUCUCAUUUUUAAAUUUUGUUCUAACGAUUCAAAAAAUGUUCACGCUUCCAAAUUUGUUCCUGGUUUCCAAAAUUGUUCUCCGUUUCAAAAAAUUAUUCUCAAGAUUCAAUAAAUGUUUAUACUUUAAAAAAAAUCGCUGUCCCAAAUUUGUUCAACAUUUUUCACAAUUGUUCUUGAUUUUAAAAUUUGUUCUCAAUAUUUAAAAAUGUUCGUCCUUUAAAAAAUUAUUCAUGCUUUCAAAUUUGUUCUCUGGUUUAAAAAACAUUCAUGUUCUUGAAAAAUGAUUGAGAAAUUCAACGAUUGUUUGUUUUGACCAAAAAAGAAAAAAGGAAAACGGGAAGAAAAACGAGCCAAAAAAGGAAAAAAUGAAAUAAGCAGAAAACGAAAAAAAAGAAGAAAAAAUGAAGUUAUCCGAUUUUUUUAGACAAAAAAAAUUGGUCCGGUCCAGUGGGAGCGAGCCCCUGCCGCAACGAGCGGCAGGUAGGAGUUCAAACCGAACCGUGCCUGACACGAUUAGGACGGACCUAGCCGGCCCGACAGAUCGGCCCAUUUGGCCGAGUCUACCAUGAGAACGCUUUUUUUAGAGGAAAUUCGUCGCUUUAUUAACUCAGCUUAAAACAAGUCUGGGGUCUCAUCUGAGACCACAUCAAAAAUAAAAUUCGGUGGAAUCAUAAGCCACAUUUUACAAAGAUCCUCCGCAACACCUAUUCUAGCUAAUUUAAGCGCUGCAGAAUUCACAAAUCUUCGUACCCACGUCACUUUCACCUCAUCGAAGAAGUGGAACAUCGCUUUGAUCGCCUUCGCCCUUGGGCCAACCGCAGAUUUGCCCAUGAGGACGCUCUGCGCCGUUGCCACAGGCAUGGUUUGAGUUGCUGUUUUUUUUUCCUCAUUAAAAAAAGUUGCUGUUUUUUUUCGGGAAGUUUGAGUUACUGUUUUUUAAGGAUUUUUGUAGAGUAGUACUAACUGUUAUGAAACUGGAGGGUUUAAUUUUGCAAAGCAGGCCUAUAAAUAGGUCGCGCGAUACUUGGAAAGAGAAGGCAGGUAAUCACCUGAAGGAAGC
rnacentral:lncRNA from 1 species